GUCAGACAGCAGAAGGCCUCGCCCCGGCUGGCUCCUGCUCUUCUUGUACUGAUCUGGGAUCUCAGGGCACUGGGCUCAGGAAACCAAGGAGGCCCCCGAUAUCGUGGCACCAGGUUGGGGUUCCCACGCCCAGCCUGGGUCCCCACAUCCCCCAAUGAGUGGCCCCAGAGUCCCAGUCCAGCCCGGCACAGGGUUCAGCGGCCCCAGGCAGCUGGGCUAUCACGUGGCGCGGAGGCUUGGGCGGGGCAGCCAAGCGAUAUUUUAACAGUCGUUCUGGCCGCUUUGCUGUGUGGUGAUCUGGACCGUGCGGACUUGCUCGUCCCCUCAGCUCUCCUGUUAGGCGUCUCUUUUCUCCAGGAGGAAAAAUGGCAGCAGCAGUAGUGGAUCCACAACAGGUAUGAUUUCUAAGUAUUCG
rnacentral:lncRNA from 1 species